AAGACAGAGGUGGCGAGCGUUACCCGGAUUCACUGGGCGUAAAGGGUGCGUAGAAACUUGUGCGUGUCGUCGGUGAAAUCUCCCUGCUCAACGGGGAGAGGUCCGACGAAACUGCACGGCUGGAGGGCCGGAGAGGGAGAAACAACUUCCGGAGUAAAACUGAAAUGCGUAGAUACCGGAAGGUACCUCAAUAGCGAAGGCAGCCUCCUGGCCGGUUCCUGACGCUGAGGCACGAAAGCGUGGGGAGCAAACCGGAUUAGAUACCCGGGUAGUCCACGCCCUAAACGAUGCCGACUAGGUGUUGGCCUCGCACAUGCUGGGCCAGUGCCGCAGCUAACGCGAUAAGUCGGCCGCCUGGGGUGUACGGCCGCAAGGUU
rnacentral:rRNA from 1 species